rnacentral:rRNA from 1 species
GACGAACGCUGGCGGCGUGCCUAAUACAUGCAAGUUGAGCGCUGAAGGUUGGUACUUGUACCAACUGGAUGAGCAGCGAACAGGUGAGUAACGCGUGGGGAAUCUGCCUUUGAGCGGGGGACAACAUUUGGAAACGAAUGCUAAUACCGCAUAAAAACUUUAAACACAAGUUUUAAGUUUGAAAGAUGCAAUUGCAUCACUCAAAGAUGAUCCCGCGUUGUAUUAGCUAGUUGGUGAGGUAAAGGCUCACCAAGGCGAUGAUACAUAGCCGACCUGAGAGGGUGAUCGGCCAAAUUGGGACUGAGACACGGCCCAAACUCCUACGGGAGGCAGCAGUAGGGAAUCUUCGGCAAUGGACGAAAGUCUGACCGAGCAACGCCGCGGGAGUGAAGAAGGUUUUCGGAUCGUAAAACUCUGUUGGUAGGGAAGAACGUUGGUGAGAGUGGAAAGCUCAUCAAGUGACGGUAACUACCCAGAAAGGGACGGCUAACUACGUG